UGUGGUGUGUGUGUGUGUGUGUGUACUGUGUGUGUGUGUGUGUGUGUGUGUGUGCACGCACACACACACACACACACACACACACAUAUACAAUAAUGUGUGUACUCAGUAUUGACAACAUUGAAGCAACAUUUUUUUCUAAAUAACAAUGUAUCAAUUUCAUACAAUAUACUCAAAG